GCACUUGCUUCGGCAAUACAUAUACUAAAAUUGGAAUGAUACAGAGAAGAUUAGCAAGCCCCAGCGCAAGGAUGACACUAUAUUCAAAAUACAACUCUAGAACAAC